CCUUGCCAGCCCGCUCAAGAAACUUAAAGGAAUUGACGGGCCCCGCACAAGCAGCGGAGCGUGUGGUUUAAUUCGAUGCUACACGAAGAACCUUACCAGGGCUUGACAUGCAAGUGGUAGGAAACCGAAAGGCGACCGACCCUUCGGGGAGCUUGCACAGGUGCUGCAUGGCUGUCGUCAGCUCGUGUCGUGGGAUGUUCGGUUAAGUCCGCUAACGAGCGCAACCCUCGCUGUGUGUUACAAGUGUCACACGGUACUGCCGGUCUUAAGCCGGAGGAAGGUGGGGAUGACGUCAAGUCAGCAUGGCCUUUAUGUCCUGGGCUACACACACGCUACAAUGGCCAACACAAUAGGUUGCUAAGCCGCGAGGUGGAGCCAAUCCUCAAAGUUGGUCUCAGUUCAGAUUGCAGUCUGAAACUCGACUGCAUGAAGUCGGAGUUGCUAGUAACCGCAUAUCAGAAUGGUGCGGUGAAUACGUUCUCGGGCCUU
rnacentral:rRNA from 1 species